UACGAAGGGGGCUAGCGUUGUUCGGAAUCACUGGGCGUAAAGCGCACGUAGGCGGACCGCUAAGUUGGGGGUGAAAGCCCAGGGCUCAACGCUGGAAAUGCCUCCAAUACUGUCGGUCUCGAGUUCGGAAGAGGUGAGUGGAAUUCCCAGUGUAGAGGUGAAAUUCGUAGAUAUUAGGAAGAACACCAGUGGCGAAGGCGGCGCACUGGUCCGAUACUGACGCUGAGGCGCGAAAGCUUGGGGAGCAAACAGG
rnacentral:rRNA from 1 species